CCACCUGGAAACGCAGUUAUUCUCAAGUUAUCUACUUUGUCUCUAUAAAUGAGCAAAUGAAAGCAGUUGAAAUGAUUUGCAAUCUUCUAAAAAUCGCAAAUACUUACAAGACUACCGAAAAGGAGUUUUAGAACGGAAACGCUCGAGGGCCUGUUUGGAAUACCUCGACAGACAAUCAGCAAGGAAGAAUGCUACCUGCAAGCCAUCUGAGAGUGUUCGCAGAACUUUUGAAGCAGAUUAACACUUUUCGCGACCUUUUUGGACGACUCAUCUAUCGAACGAGAACAACUGGAAACCGGAUUUUACAAGGAAAUUAAUUAAAUUAGCAGGGGACGCUUAAAUGAAGCAGAAAAUAUUCCCAAAAAUGCUGGGAGUGUUAAUAAAUCCACCAAACAAUGUACUUCAUAAUUCUUACCCGCAUACAAUAAAGCAAUUCAUGCAGAAGUUGCGUUCUAAUUGAGUGAAAAUACAGGGGUGUCUGUCACUUCCAAAUUUUCCUUCAUGAGCGAAAAACUUCCAAUUCAUGCUCAAUUUAUUGAUGACUUAUUUAUCUGACUCAAUUAUGUGAUAAUAUCUCGAUCAAUGCGCAAAAAAUUAAACAAAUUAUUGAAUUUUGCACUUACCGAACAUCUACUACACCUGGAGACAUAAAAUCCUCUACCCGCAUUGUACACGUGAUUCAUAGUCGAUUUUAGCAUAACCCCACUGGCUAUUAUUUAACACCAAACAUACCGUUAGUAGAACCACCUUUUCUUGUUCAAAGCCCUUUUGGAAGACCCGAAAUUAACUGGAAUAACCGUCAGUUCGAAGACUCCCGCAUUUUGGUGACGGGUGUUGAGCGGUCGUCUCAUUGAGUGACACUAAGAUACUUAAACAGUUUAUUGGCUCUAGACUUGAUCUUAUUUAGUUUAUUAGUUUAAUUUUCAUUUAGGUAGUGAAAAGGCAGUUGAUGAAUGAAGACGAAUGAGUGGAUAAAUGGAGACGUUCUGGCGAUGGAACAUAUGGGUAACAGAAUACUAAAGACGCGCGGGGCUUUAGCACUUGUAUGAUUUCUAAAUUGAUUUUGACUCAGUAGGAAAUGGAACAGAACGUCUUAUGAAAGUAUUUUUUAGGUAGAACUGUUUGCAAAAUAUAUGAGUUGCAAUAAUAUGAAUAAGCAAUUAUAAAAUAAAGUAAUAAUCU